ACUGGGUUGAUAGGCCGGAUGUGGAAGCGAGGACUAACGACUCGUGAAGCUGACCGGUACUAAUAGGCCGAUAACUUACACCACACACCCC
rnacentral:rRNA from 1 species